rnacentral:lncRNA from 1 species
CUGGCCGGAAAACCGUGAGAGGGAUAGACUUGGCCGGCGGAGCAAGACCGAGGGCCGGAAGAGAUGGCCGGAAAAGAGAUGAUCGCCGACGGAUGGGAUUGCUCAGGUGGAGAGAGUCUCGUGCUGAUAACGUGUUAAGAUUUGAGAGAAGAUUUGUGAGAAUGUGUUGUAUAUUUCUUAUUGCUUACACCACUAUAUAUAGUGGUUCAUACAAGGUGGAGUCAAAC